rfam:Sinomicrobium oceani strain CGMCC 1.12145 genome assembly, contig: IQ32DRAFT_scaffold00036.36
CCCGCCACAAGAUGAGAUUUCUUUAAAGGGUCGUGGGAGAUGACCACGUUGAUAGGCUACAGGUGUAUAGGCAGUAAUGUGUUAGCCGAGUAGUACUAAUUACCCGUAAACUUAUAAUA